rnacentral:rRNA from 1 species
ACCCGCUGAACUUAAGCAUAUCAAUAAGCGGAGGAAAAGAAACUAACAAGGAUUCCCCUAGUAACUGCGAGUGAAGCGGGAAAAGCUCAAAUUUAAAAUCUGGCGGUCCCUGUGGCCGUCCGAGUUGUAAUUUAGAGAAGUGUUAUCCGCGCUGGACCGUGUACAAGUCUCCUGGAAUGGAGCGUCAUAGAGGGUGAGAAUCCCGUCUUUGACACGGACUGCCAGGGCAUUGUGAUGCGCUCUCGAAGAGUCGAGUUGUUUGGGAAUGCAGCUCAAAAUGGGUGGUAAAUUCCAUCUAAAGCUAAAUAUUGGGGAGAGACCGAUAGCGAACAAGUACCGUGAGGGAAAGAUGAAAAGAACUUUGGAAAGAGAGUUAAACAGUACGUGAAAUUGCUGAAAGGGAAACGCUUGAAGUCAGUCGCGUCGUUCAGGACUCAGCCUUGCUUUUGCUUGGUGUACUUCUUGUUCGACGGGUCAGCAUCAAUUUUGGUCGGUGGAUAAAGGCUUAGAGAAUGUGGCAUCUUCGGGUGUGUUAUAGCUCUGGGUCGCAUACAUCGGCUGGGAUUGAGGAACUCAGCACGCCGCAAGGCCGGGUACUUGUACCACGUACGUGCUUAGGAUGCUGGCAUAAUGGCUUUAAUCGACCCGUCUUGAAACACGG